GAUGAACGCUGGCGGCGUGCCUAAUACAUGCAAGUCGAGCGAACAGACGAGGAGCUCGCUCCUCUGACGUUAGCGGCGGACGGGUGAGUAACACGUGGAUAACCUACCUAUAAGACUGGGAUAACUUCGGGAAACCGGAGCUAAUACCGGAGAAUAUAUUGAACCGCAGGGAUCAAGAGAGAAAGAAGGUUUUGCUGACACUAAGAGAUGGAUCCGUGUCGCAUUAGCUAGUUGGUAAGGUAACGGCCUACCAAGGCAACGAUGCGUAGCCGACCUGAGAGGAUGAUCAGCCACACUGGAACUGAGACACGGUCCAGACUCCUACGGGAGGCAGCAGUGGGGAAUCCUCCACAAUGGGCGCAAGCCUGACCCAGCCAUGCCGCGUGAGUGAUGAAGGCCUUCGGGUCGUAAAGCUCUUUUAUUGGGAAAGAACAGCAGCGUGUUAAUCCCUCCAUGUUCUGACGGUACCCAAUCAAUAAGCCCCGGCUAACUUCGUG
rnacentral:rRNA from 1 species